rnacentral:lncRNA from 1 species
UCUUCCUUCAGAAGGAGUUCCAGCAACUGAUGUAGCCAAAAGAAUGAAAUCAGAGUAUAAGAACUGCGCUGAGUGUGACACCCUGGUGUGUAUGUCCCUUUUGUCAGAGGGAACUGUAUGAAGACAGCUUGCUGGAUCAUUGUAUUACUCAUCACAGAUCGGAACGGAGGCCUGUGUUCUGUCCACUUUGCCGUUUAAUACCCGAUGAGAAUCCAAGCAGCUUCAGUGGCAGUUUAAUAAGACAUCUGCAAGUUAGUCACACUUUGUUUUAUGAUGAUUUCAUAGUAAGUAUAUUUUCUUAUUUUUACAUUAUGUUUUCAUGCUGUCUUGUUAAGCUUACCUUUCCGAUCCAAGUGAAUAAAAUUAUAGAGGAAAAAAUGUGUAUAUAGCUAUAGUGUUGAGUAUUAGCAUUAAGU